rnacentral:rRNA from 1 species
AUGGCGACCGGCGCACGGGUGAGUAACACGUAUCCAACCUGCCGAUAACUCGGGGAUAGCCUUUCGAAAGAAAGAUUAAUACCUGAUGGUAUAAUCAGACCGCAUGGUUUGAUUAUUAAAGAAUUUCGGUUAUCGAUGGGGAUGCGUUCCAUUAGGCAGUUGGUGAGGUAACGGCUCACCAAACCUUCGAUGGAUAGGGGUUCUGAGAGGAAGGUCCCCCACAUUGGAACUGAGACACGGUCCAA